rnacentral:rRNA from 1 species
CAGUAGCCACGGUAAUACGUAGGUCCCGAGCGUUGUCCGGAUUUAUUGGGCGUAAAGGGAGCGCAGGCGGUUUAGUAAGUCUGAAGUUAAAGGCAUUGGCUCAACCAAUGUAUGCUUUGGAAACUGUUAGACUUGAGUGCAGAAGGGGAGAGUGGAAUUCCAUGUGUAGCGGUGAAAUGCGUAGAUAUAUGGAGGAACACCGGUGGCGAAAGCGGCUCUCUGGUCUGUCACUGACGCUGAGGCUCGAAAGCGUGGGUAGCGAACAGGAUUAGAUACCCGGGUAGUCCCUGUCUCUUAUACC